UAUUUUUUACUAAUUUUGGCUGUUGGAGCAUGGAUGGUCUUGGAGUGCUGCGGGCACUUGCUUCUGAUACAGCGUGUGCCAUGCUUUCCAGACCGGAGGAACCCAGAUUGUUAAAGGGAUAAUAAUGAUUGGAUAUUCUUAAGAGUUCAUCAACAUCUUGGACGGGUUUGGCGCCAUAUGUUACAGGAAGUGUGGUGAAGUGAGAAGAAUAUUAAAUGUUAUUCUACUAGUGCUGUGGAACUGGUCUUGCUAUUGGAGCAAUGUUAAUUACUCUUGUCAUCAUCACU